ACUAUCCCACCACUUCAUACUACACUGAUAAAAAAUAAAAAGCAACCACAUGAUUUUCCUUACUUGAGAAACACAGCCAUUUUUCCUUCUCUCGUGACUGCCCAUCAGAUUCUACGAACUGAUUUCUUCUUCUUCCUCUGUUGAUAACGACAAUUCUCAACCCUGGAGUCUUUUAACUCUCUUCCACAAAUUAAAAAACUUGCUUCCAUUUCCUUUUAUGUGUUCCUUUCUUCCUACCGCACCUUUUCUUUAGUGCCAAUCAUUGAAGAUACUUCAAGGUCAUUAUCAAAAUUGCAAUGCAUGUAAUCUGCAUCAGAAUUCAAUUACUUACAUCAGUUAUGUAAGUAAGGGGAAAAGGAGCUGGUAAGUUUUCCCCUUUUUCUAAAAUCCAUCAAACAGUAAAAAGUUUAUUCCUUCUGAAAUUUCAAAUCCAAACUUUCUACUUCAUAUGAAGGAAUAAAUUUUUGCUCUUCUGAUUUUUCCUAAAGAUUCGCUCUCAAAGUCGAAGAAAAAUAAUUCUCCUAGUAACUGGAGUAAAAGAUCAACCACUAUUCAUUACUUGACUGUAGGUAGUGACGAUGUCUCUGUCCCUACUCCUUCUGUUGAGGUUUGCCCAUCCUUUCAUUUGGGUAAUGAGGUAUAAGUUGAUAUCGCUCUAGUUUUGAAUUUCUCUGAAUUAAUCAGUUGAUCUCUUUUUGACUUGGAUUGUAAGGAUCACAAAUCCGCCAUGACGUGUUGUAUCACCUCACAGCACUACAUUGUUGUAAUUGCCACGACACUCUUAUCACUUUUGUCAUCAAGUAGCUAUUUGAUCACAGUAAUUAUUUAUGAUACAUAUAAAAAAUAAGCUUUAUGCGGUGUUUUAACUUUUUACGAUUGAAACAUUUGGCACUUUCUUGAAACUAUAGUAAAUUUGAUUUUGGAAAAAUGGGUAAUGUGUUUAUGUACACAUAUUUGAGACUCAAAUCAAGCUACAUUAUGUAUUUAUUUGCCAUCUUUUAAAAGUCUUUUCAAUUAUCAGUUUAAAUGCCAGCAUCUUGCUACAAAAUAGUAGUUAGUUUCUGUUUCUUUCUUUAAUGUAGAAUGUUGAGUCGCUGGAAUGGUGGAGACUGAUUUUAGACCUGAUGUGGUGAUAUUUUGGACACUGCUAAUAGGAUGUAACAAUGGGGGGUUUUAUUCAUGAAGCUAGCAGGUUCUUUGAAUAAAUAGAAGGGUUCAUGAUGUUUGUUAAGAACUAAAAUAUUAUGGGUGUAUGACUGAUUUGUUGGCAUGUGCAGGGUUCAUUAAAGAAGCUCUGUAAAUGAGACAGGUCAUGCCAAUGGUUGUUGAUGUGUUUGUCUACGACUGUUUCCUAGGCCAGGUUAUAUGUCGCUCACACAUAUCGGUAUUCUUAUUUAUCUUUUCUCUCAAUUUUUAUGUCUUCAUUGUGGGUAUCCCCUCCGUCUCUUUCUCUUUUCCUGUCAGCAAAAAAUAACUUUUGCUCCUCCUUUUUUAUAUCCGUAUGGUAAUCACUGAUAGAGCCAGACCAUAGCUAACUGAUUUAGAGAGUUGCUGUAAUAACGAGGCAAUGCUCCGCUCCUAAAUGAGGUAUUCAGUUUGAAACGACUGUGGUGCUCCUUGGACAGUGUUCUCCCUUGAUAUCUUUUAAAUUGUUUAUUUAUUUUUCAAAAGCUUCAAAAUUGCUUAUUUGACAAACUGAACCAACAAUGUUUCUGUUUAGCUUUGUUCAUCUAAUGAUCUAGAUGCAAUAUUUAAAUUUUAUGUCUUCCAUUAUAAUCCCAAUAACUAUUGAAGUGUGUGAGGCAACUGGUUAUACAUGCAAGUUUAAAGAACUUAGCUAUUAUUUUACCUGAAAAGAAUUUAAUCCAUCAUGUUAAGAACAACUCAAAAGAAUUGUACUAUUUUGCCAUUUAGGUCAUAUAUUUACAUAUUUAUGUAUCUAUGUAUGAAUGUGGCUUCAUUCCAUGAGACAACAACAACAACAACAUACCCAGUGUAGUUUCACACGGUAGGGUCUGGAGAGGGUAGAGUGUACGCAGACAUUAGCUCUACCACAGAGGUAAUGAGAGAGAGGUUAUUUUCAAUAAAUCAUUGGCUCAAGGGAAAAACAUUCUAGGAAAAGACAUUUGAGAAGCACCAAGGCUAAAAGUUCUUUUGAAAAUACCAUAACUUUAGCAUCUCUAACUGUUAAGUGUUAUGAUUGUGUACAAAUUUAUACCUUUUGUAGUUGUAUAAAAUACUCAUAAUAUUUUUCUGAAUACUUCCUUUUUAAUUGGUGGUUAUAUAUUUUCAUAGUUCGUUGUAUGGGGUAGAACGUUCGUAAGGAAGCUCAAAAGGCACAUAAGAGAAGAAACAAACCCAAGAAGGAGUCCUUCCUUCAUACGUAUCUAAUAAUAUGUUAUAUUGUUUAAAUUUAAUGGAGAAUUUGGUGUGGCGAGUAAUCUAUAUAGUUUCUUCUUUCUAAAAAGAAUAACAAAGAUACUCUUGAACAUGCAGGUAAGAUGAGUGUUUUGUGUUAUUUCUCUAAAUAAUUAUAAUUUUGGAUUUUGGUUAUCUUUAUGUUUACAUGAAAUAGAGUCCUUCGAAAAGAAGGAUGAUAUCACAUUACCAUGAUUUUGCUUGUGCCACUUUUGUAUCUCCUUUCUUUAUUGUAGAAAAAAAUUGGCAUAUCAAUAGUUGAAGCGAGUAAUCUUACUGACAUCUCAAAAACAUAUUGAAGUAAUUGCUUGGCCUUGGGAGAUCAUCACUAUUUGGGAGAACAUUAUCUGUUAUUAUAAUAAGAACUUUCCAACCAUAGAUUUGCUCCGGAGUUUCAAUAGAUUUUGAUACAAAUAAGUUACCUGCGUGCUGAAUAAUUAUCAUGUUGACCAAUGUUUCUGUUCAGUUUUGCCGUUUAUAUUCAAGGUGUUGUGUUAUAUUUAUCUUUAGUGCACACUUUCGUUUGCUUUAAUAUUUUUCUACAAAAUUUUACUCGUUA